rnacentral:rRNA from 1 species
GACGAAGGAUGCAAGCGUUAUCCGGAUUCAUUGGGUUUAAAGGGUGCGUAGGCGGCCUUGUAAGUCAGUGGUGAAAUCUCCUCGCUUAACGAGGAAACUGCCAUUGAUACUGCAGGGCUUGAGUACAGUUGCUGUGGGCGGAAUAUGACAUGUAGUGGUGAAAUACAUAGAGAUGUCAUAGAACACCGAUUGCGAAGGCAGCUCACAAAACUGUAACUGACGCUGAGGCACGAAAGUGCGGGGAUCAAACAGG